GAUGAACGCUGGCGGCGUGCUUAACACAUGCAAGUCGAACGGGAAUUAUUUUAUUGAAACUUCGGUCGAUUUAAUUUAAUUCUAGUGGCGGACGGGUGAGUAACGCGUGGGUAACCUGCCUUAUACAGGGGGAUAACAGUCAGAAAUGGCUGCUAAUACCGCAUAAGCGCACAGAGCUGCAUGGCUCAGUGUGAAAAACUCUGGUGGUAUAAGAUGGACCCGCGUUGGAUUAGCUUGUUGGCAGGGUAACGGCCUACCAAGGCGACGAUCCAUAGCCGGCCUGAGAGGGUGAACGGCCACAUUGGGACUGAGACACGGCCCAGACUCCUACGGGAGGCAGCAGUGGGGAAUAUUGCACAAUGGGGGAAACCCUGAUGCAGCGACGCCGCGUGAAGGAAGAAGUAUCUCGGUAUGUAAACUUCUAUCAGCAGGGAAGAUAGUGACGGUACCUGACUAAGAAGCCCCGGCUAACUACGU
rnacentral:rRNA from 1 species